GACGUAGGGCGCGAGCGUUUGUCCGGAUUUAUUGGGCGUAAAGAGCUCGUAGGCGGCUCAUUGCGUCAACCGUGAAAACCAGCAGCUCAACUGUUGGCUUGCGGUUGAUACGGGUGGGCUGGAGUUCGGUAGGGGAGACUGGAAUUCCUGGUGUAGCGGUGGAAUGCGCAGAUAUCAGGAGGAACACCGAGUGGCGAAGGCAGAUCUCUGGGCCGGUAACUGACG
rnacentral:rRNA from 1 species